rnacentral:rRNA from 1 species
GUGCCAGCAGCUGCGGUAAUACGUAGGGCGCAAGCGUUGUCCGGAAUUAUUGGGCGUAAAGAGCUCGUAGGCGGCUUGUCGCGUCUGCUGUGAAAGCACGAGGCUCAACCUCGUGUCUGCAGUGGGUACGGGCAGGCUAGAGUGUGGUAGGGGGAGACUGGAAUUCCUGGUGUAGCGGUGGAAUGCGCAGAUAUCAGGAGGAACACCAAUGGCGAAGGCAGGUCUCUGGGCCACUACUGACGCUGAGGAGCGAAAGCGUGGGAGCGAACAGGAUUAGAUACCCUGGUAGUCCACGCCGUAAACGGUGGGGCACUAGAUGUGGGGCUUAUUCCAUGAGUUCCGCGUCGCAGCUAACGCAUUAAGUGCCCCGCCUGGGAGUACGGCCGCAAGGCUAAAACUCAAAGGAAUUGGACGGGGCCCGCACAAGCGGCGGAGCAUGCGGAUAAUUCGAUGCAACGCGAAGAACCUUA